ACGGGAAAUGGAAAUUAUAGGUUUUGCGUUGGAAAUGCCAUGGGUUCAGGAUUGAAUUGUGUGGGCAUCUCAAUAAGCCAGGGAAUCUAGGUAGAGGAGCAGAUAGAGCUCCGCGAUGUUAGUGGUUGCUUGAUCUACCCUGCCAGGAGGGAGGAGUUCGAUAUGGACAUUCUCCACACAGACCAUGUGAAGAGGGCGGUGGAUGUCCAACUUUGCAAUAAAUUUAAGUCCUAUCUUGGCAAAAUGCGCGAACAUUUUCGUGCGAUGGGAGAUGAAGCAGAAACCCAC